AAAAUAUUCAGGCUGGAGUGUGCCACUUUGGAGGGUAAAGAAAGGGACUUGUUUAAGUAACUGUGUUGAGUUGUAAGGGGAAUACCUGGCUUAAGGGGGAGGAGCUAUGUUGCUAAUUACGUUAGUGAUCAGAAAACUGCGUAGGUACUUCUGAAUAGAUCAGAACGUAGACGGCUGUUACGUGUGACCCUUGGGAAUACCAGUUUAACUAGAAGAACAGUUAUACAGUGGGAGAAGAAAGUUUGCAUGCCAGGAGAGUGCCUUUUUAUCUCCUACCCUGUUAUUUUUUUUCAAGGAGUACUUAAACGGUUGAAUAAUUAAGGUCAGGAGCCCUUGGUACAGAAUCCAUCAUAAAAUGUUUGAAGGUGAAGUAUGAGAAUAAGGUCAUGAAAGACUUAAAUGGACUUCUGAAGUAACAAAAGGAAGAAAAAUGGAGACAGAGACCAUUUUAAGUCUUAGACAGCAACUCAAGGAAGCAGAGAAUGAGCGAAGAAAGGCAGCACAAUAUGGGUUGCAUUUAUUGGAAUCCCAAAGUGAAGUUCAAAAUCAAUUGGAUCAAACACGCCGUGAAUUGACUGAGAAAACUGAGAAAUUUGAACAAGAGAAAUACUCUCUUCAGAGAGAAAUUGAACUCAAGAAUCGAAUGUUGGAAAGCUUGAGUUUUGAAUGUGAUUCCCUUAAGCAACAGCAAAACAUGCAACUGGAUAAACAGAAAGAACAGCUUGCCAGAGUCUAUGGACAAGAAAUCAGUGACCUUAAAAACAAGUUGGAGAACCUAAAAGCAGAACUAGAUGAAACCCGACUCUCAGAGAAACAAUUAAGACACAAAGUGGAUCAUCAGAAGGAAAUAAUUGCUGCCAAAUCAGAAGAACUGCAUAUGAUGUCUGAACGUGUACAUGAGACCAUGUCUUCAGAAAUGCUCAAUCUUCAAAUAGAACUCACUGAACUAGAAAGUGUGAAGGCCAAUGUUGAAGAAAAGCUGAAUGAACUGCAGUACAGUAAAGAACAACUAGAACUCAUAAACAGUAAUUUACGUAAUCAGCUGGAGCGUCUACAGGGAGAAAAAGAAGAGAGGGAAAAAGAAUUUGUUUCUUACUCUAAUGCAUUAGAGAAAGCUCGUGAAGCUAAUCAGGAGCUUCAGGUUCAGCUGGAUCAUGCAGUGCAACAAUCUUUGGACCCUACAAGUAAAGGCAAUUCUCUCUUUGCUGAGGUGGAGGACCGUAGGGCAGAAAUGGAACGACAGCUGAUCAGUGUGAAAAUAAAAUAUCAGUCACUACAAAAACAGCAUGCAUUCACUAGAGAACAAUUGCAAAGAAUGAAGCUGCAAAUGGCUACACUGCUACAGAUGAAAGGCUCUCAGGCAGAAUUUGAGCAGCUGGAACGUUUACAGUCGAUGUUAGAACAAAAGAAUGGUGAGAUAGAAGAUCUUCUUAUGAAAGUGAGGCAGCUAGAAAAGUUUAAGACUUUAUAUGAGAAUACAGAAGAAUCCAGAGCUAGUAGUAGCUCAAAAGGAGGAGAGUCUGAAGAUGGUUACUAUGUGGAUUUACUGCAAAUGAAACUUGACAACUCAAACAAGGAAACUGAAACCUUGAAAAAUGAACUAUCCUUGCAGAGGAUGAAAGCUCUGUACGAGAGCCAAAGGGUUCUGGAAGUUGAAAGGAAACUCUUCACAAAUGAGAGGCAUUUGCAAGCUUGUCAGAGCGAGAAUAUGAACUUGCGAGUUAUGCUGGAUGAGCUGAAAAUGAAAUAUGAACCUGAAGAAUUACUUAAAGGCACCAAAAUUAAAAAGAAGAGGGAGAAGAUUCCAGUGGACACUACUUCUGAACACUUAGACAGCAAAAAUACUUCAGCAAAAGAAGCUGCUCUUGCUCAAUUGCCAAGUAAGGAAGAAACAAAGAUGAAUUCCAAGAACUUGGAGCCAAGUGAUGCUUCUCCAAAAAAACAUGCUCUUGAAGCACCACCAAUAAAUAUAGCUCUUCAAGCAAUGCAAAAAGUAGUUGAACCUGAAAGAGAAAGAAAGAGAGUUAGAACUAAAGAUGAGAAUCAUGAUGCCUUUACUUCGUAUAGCAGAAGUGGAAGUAAUUCCUUGACUUCAGCUGCCCCCAGGUCAGUGUCAGCUUCUGUCUAUGGUCAAGGCAAUCAGCACAGACCUGCAUCUCUUUUCUUUCGCUGCAUGAACUAUGCUAUCCACUUCUUUAUCUAUUUCCUCAGUGUUGCAUGCAGUGUAAUUCCUCAGCUCCGACUGCCUACGUUGAACCCCUCAAUACCUUUUAGAAAGACUAAGAUGAUGACUAAUGAAAAAGACUCUUGAAACUGUAACAAUCUUUGAAAUAACUUUCCCAUUACUGGAAAAUGUUUAAGCUCCUUUCAUAGUCCUCAUCUUCAGCUGUAUCUCUAUAUUGCAAAUUAAUCUCUAACAACGGGGUAGCAGCUAUUCUUGUUUGGAAACCCAUGAUUGAAAGCAGCUGUUGAUUGUUGUGGGUUGCUCACUGGAGGCUCUUGAGACCACUAGAAAUCCACAAGGUAGCUAGAGAAUUGCUUUAACAGAUGUGGUGAUGAAUCAGCAUAGUAUUUGUGUUGGUAUGUAAAGCUAUGUUUAAUUUGGAAUUUCAUUUUUCCAUAAUUUGGUUUGCUGUGGAAGUAAUCAUGUGUAACAGUCAACCGGUUGUGGGUGAUUUGGUAAUAAUUACUAAAUACUACCACUAUUUAAUUUGUUCUAAUGACACACUUGCACAUUUAUUAAGUAAUUCUUAAAUAAUCAAAACAUCUGAUUGUGCUCAGAUGCGUAAAUCUUGGUUCCAACUUAUCUCUUUAACAGCAAUGUGGCAGUUGUAUUCCCAUUUACAUUCACAGCAGAACUGCAUGUCAGUGGACAAAUGAUGUAAUUUAGAGCCUGAAAAAUGAACUUUUUUCCAACAACUUUUCAGAUAUUCAGGCCUUUAUCUUAAGGCAGUAGUAGUGCAGAACUAGGUUGGAAACUAGUAUAUUGCUUUAAGUGUAGUCCUUUCUUUGGUGGUAUUAAAGCAAAAUGCUUGACUUCAUCAUGUUUGUAUUAUGUUGCUGGGACUUUUCACUUGGAGUUGUGCUUUUGUGGACUUGAUCACUUUUAUGUGCAUGGCCGGUCACUUUUUUGUUUUUAAAGGCUGAUCCCAACUAGUUAACACAUUCAGUAACCUUGUUUACCAAACAUUUCAGCAGAUGGGGGGGCAAGGUGCAGGGGAAGGUUAUAUUUUAAGUGAUGAAAUGUGAAUAGGACCAAUAUAAAAAUGCUUUAUUUUAGUCUCAUUCUUAAACACUGCUUGCUCUGUCUUUGCAUAUGGAUGGUCUUGUAUGCCAGUUGGCUUGUUGAUUUUGCUUAAAACUCUUAUUUUAGCCCUGUUUUUUAUUAACUAAAUAUGUAUUUAGAAUGGUUGCUUUGCCUGUAGGUUAACAGCUGAAUCCAGAUUUGAAACUACA